CAAGUCAUUUGUUCAGCUCAAUGUUUAAUUUGCACAUUCUUCCUAAUGCAGGCUGUCAUAUGGAGAAAAGCCGUACCACUUUUCGAUGAUGGCUUCAAACCUAAAUCACAACAAUACCAAAACUCAAAGUGAAGAGGCUUCUAAGAAUAACCUGACUGGUCACAUGAUGAGCUUCAGUUCCCAUGACUGCUGUGAGUCAUGCUUGGGACAGGGGCACGCUGGCUUGUUCCACCUGUGGCAAGGACAAGAAGCUGGCAACAGCUGUGGAUGUUGAGCAGACCUACAAGUGGCUGGAAGAUGGCCAGUGAUACAGGUUCCAGUGACCACAUGUUUGGCUGCAGUGGCAAGCGCUGUCAUAUGGAGAAAAGCCGAACCACUUUUCGAUGAUGGCUUCAAACCUAAAUCGCAGCAAUACCAAAACUCAAAAUGAAGAGCCUUCUAAGAAUAACCUGACUGGUCACAUGAUGAGCUUCAGUUCCCAUGACUGCUGUGAGUCAUGCUUGGGACAGGGGCACGCUGGCUUGUUCCACCUGUGGCAAGGACAAGAAGCUGGCAACAGCUGUGGAUGUUGAGCAGGCCUACAAAGUGGUUGGAAGAUGGCCAGUGAUACAGCUUCCAGUGACCACAUGUUUGGCUGCAGUGGCAAGAGUGAGCUUUAAGGAGGCUGGCUGUCAUAAUGUUACUAUGCCUGAUGAACAAGCUGCCAACACCACUCUGUGUAAAUGCUAUUUAAGUGAGAAAAUACACUGACACAUAGUCACCUUGUUAGCAAAAAAUUUUUUCACAGAGGUACAGUGGAAAGUGGAAACUAAAGUUGAGACAGUCGUACAAAUCAGAGUUCAAGAAAAUAGUUCUGAUCUCAGAUGAGACCUCUGCAAUUUUCACGAGACUUCAACUUGGUGACAUCUAAUGGGUACACUUCACAAGUCUGUUUAGCUUUCCAUGUUUUGGUUGACACCGCCAAAGAAAAGUACCAAAGGUGUCAAAGAAGAAAAAUGUGAUGAUGACCAUAGAAACUAAAAUGGAAUUCAUUGGUUAUUGGAAGUGGUACAUACACACAUCUCUGUUCUGGCUGCUCUGUCGAAUAUGUAAACAAAAAGUUUUAAGAGAAAGAACUUAAAGGAG